AUCCCAGUGCAAGGGCGUCUUCCUUCUCCGUGAAGCGAUAAGCUGAGAGAGGAAUUUUGCUAGUUGAAAACUAUAAUUGAACCACUCCUAAUUGGAUUUAUUCUGGUUUGGGAAUUUUUGAAACCCCUCCUGUUUUGGAAAAUGGG
rnacentral:snRNA from 1 species